rnacentral:rRNA from 1 species
GGCAAGCUACAAAGGGCGUCUGGUGGAUGCCUUGGGGCAAAGUGCCGAUGAAGGACGCGAACAGCGGCGAUACGCCCGGGGGAGCGGCAACGACGCUACGAUCCCGGGAUUUCCGAAUGGGGCAACCUGGCCGCCGUAACGGGCGGUCACCGCAUGGUGAACACAUAGCCAUGCGGGGGGCACUCGGGGAACUGAAACAUCUCAGUACCCGAAGGAAAAGAAAGCAACCGCGAUUCCCCAAGUAGUGGCGAGCGAACGGGGAACAGCCUAAACCGCGUCGGCAUGCUGGCGCGGGGUCGUGGGGCCAGCCACAACACAUACCGAUCCUGGUUCCGAAGCGGCCUGGAACGGCCCACCAUAGCGGGUGAGAGUCCCGUAGGGGUCCGGGUUGGUGUGUGGGUUGGUACCCGAGUACCGCGGGGCACGGGAAACCUUGCGGGAAUCUGGGAGGACCACCUCCUAAGGCUAAAUACACUUUGCCACCGAUAGCGAAGCAGUACCGUGAGGGAAAGGUGAAAAGUCCCCCGGGAGGGGAGUGAAAUAGAACCUGAAACCAGAUCGCCUACAAACAGUCAGAGCCUGGGCGCAAGCCCGGGUGAUGGCGUGCCUUUUGCAGAAUGAACCGGCGAGUUGCUGUUGGUCGUAGGUUAAGCCUCUCAGA